rnacentral:lncRNA from 1 species
CUGUAUCAGUUUAGGAUCCAUGACGUGACUUAUACAUAUAAGGUCAGGGCCAAUAGCCAAGUACGCUCUACUGAGUUCACAAUACUCAAUUACAAUAAAUACAAAACAUUCAUUUGUGAGCAAAAGCUCCUUCAACAAACGCCUAACUUAAGUGUCAAUGCCUUUGGAGGUACCUCCCCCCUCGGUCAAGAUUGAAGUUCACCGAACGACCAAUAUUGAAGGCAACCGAGCG